UAGGCACAGGCAUUAACACUGAAGGUCCCU
rnacentral:piRNA from 1 species